UAAGGAAUAUUGGUCAAUGGACGCAAGUCUGAACCAGCCAUGCCGCGUGGAGGAUUAAGGCCCUCUGGGUUGUAAACUCCUUUUAUCUGGGAAGAAAUGUACUUUUUCUUGAGUACUUGACGGUACCAGAGGAAUAAGCACCGGCUAACUCCGUGCCAGCAGCCGCGGUAAUACGGAGGGUGCAAGCGUUAUCCGGAUUCACUGGGUUUAAAGGGUGCGUAGGUGGGCAGGUAAGUCAGUGGUGAAAUCUCCGGGCUUAACCCGGAAACUGCCGUCGAUACUAUUUGGCUUGAAUAUUGUGGAGGUAAGCGGAAUAUGUCAUGUAGCGGUGAAAUGCUUAGAUAUGACAUACAACACCAAUUGCGAAGGCAGCUUACUACACAAUCAUUGACGCUGAGGCACGAAAGCGUGGGGAUCAAACA
rnacentral:rRNA from 1 species